CUGAUUUGCUUAAUUGCACCACAUGUGUUUUUCUUUGAAACAAACUUGCUUUGGCGGUGGGCCCAGCCUGCCGCCAGAGGUCUAAACUUACAACCAAUUUUUUAUCAACUUUUCACACCAGAUUAUUACUAAUAGUCA
rnacentral:misc_RNA from 1 species